AAGUCUCUUGCCUCGCUCGGUCAGUUUGCGUUUCUAUCGUCUGAUCUUGAGCUGGAUACACCUUCCUUUGUAUUACAUGUGAAGGGAUGUAUGGGACGAGAAGAGUGGAGGUCCUCCUAUCGAUGAUUUUUGAGUACGAUUCCACGGCCUGCACAUCGCCUGGGAUUGUAAUUUAUCCGUCGAGACAUGU
rfam:Coccidioides immitis RMSCC 3703 supercont1.33 genomic scaffold, whole genome shotgun sequence.